CUUAGUGGAUUUAUUAAAGGUAUAUCUUUUUUACCGAAAAGCUCAGAUCUCAAUUUUAGUUGCUUGGAGCCUGUUUUAUUGGGUAAAUUUAAUUUAAACUAUAGUUGCGUUGUGAAAAAUUAGUCGUUGAGCUUUAUAUCUGUUUGGUCGCUUGGAAUUUUUUUGUAUACAUUAGGUUAUGAGAUCUAGUGUAACUUUAUAUCUCGUUUUUUUAGGUUUUUAUAAAAGGGUUAAAAUUACCCAUUUUUUAUAAAAUUGUUAUAAAUUUUUGCUUUUUGUUUGCGGGAUUAAGUUUUUCGGCGACUUGCUGGUUUAAUUUGUUGAUAUCAUAUAUCAUUAAAUAAGUAAUUAUAUUACUGUAGUUAUUUCUCGAGUUUUGUCCGUCUGUUUAUUAAAAACAUUUCUAACUUUAAGUUUAGUUGGUAGUGCCUGCCCGGUGUAUUUUUAUAAAUGGCCGCAGUAUUUUGACUGUGCAAAGGUAGCAUAAUUAAUUGCCUUAUAAUUGAAGGCUUGUUUGAAAGGUUUGACGAGAUAACAAUGAAUAUCUAUAGUUUUUUUGAAAUUGAUUAUGAGGGCACAGAAUCCUCAGUGUAUUAAUUAGACGGAAAGACCCCGGGAUCUUUUUUUUUUGCCUGGGGCAGGUUUCAAUAUUUCAUUGAUAUUGUGACCCUUGAUAUCAGGUUUGGUGAGUUAAGUUACCCCGGGGAUAACAGUGUGAUAGUUAAUGAGAGAUCUUAUCGAAUUAACUGUUUGCUACCUCGAUGUUGACUUAGAUUUUAUGCUAGGACGCAGUAGUUUUAGUUUUAGGUCUGUUCGACCUUAUUAUCUCCAUGAGUUGAGUUAAGACCGGCGUGA
rnacentral:rRNA from 1 species